rnacentral:rRNA from 1 species
GGAGUUUGGACCGUCUCUCAGUUCCAAUGUGGCCGGUCAUCCUCUCAGAUCGGCUACCGAUCGUCGACUUGGUGGGCCGUUACCUCACCAACUAUCUAAUCGGACGCGAACUCACCCCAAACCGGAUUGCUCCUUUUACCCCUGUGCCAUGCGGCACCGUGGUCUUAUGCGGUAUUAGCACCUGUUUCCAAGUGUUAUCCCCCUGUCUGGGACAGAUUGUUCACGCGUUACUCACCCGUCCGCCACUCGAAUACUCAAUUCCAUCCCGAAGGACUUCCUCAAAUAUCCCCGUUCGACUUGCAUGUGUUAAGCACGCCGCCAGCGUUCGUCCUCGAGCCAUGAUCAAACUACU